ACUCAAAUGAAUAGACGGGGCUCCGCACAAGCGGAGGAUGAUGUGGUUUAAUACGAUGCUACGCGUAGAACCUUACCAAGGUUUGACAUCCCUGUCGCACCCCUAAGAAACUAGGGGGUCAGUUCGGCUGGACAGGUGACAGAUGUUGCAUGGCCGUCGUCAGCUCGUGUCGUGAGAUGUUGGGUUAAGUCCCGCAACGAGCGCAACCCUUGUCGUGUGUUAAAUUUUUCACGCGAGACCGCCCGGGCCAACCGGGAGGAAGGUGGGGAUGACGUCAGGUCGGCAUGACUCUUACACCUUGGGCCACACACGUCAUACAAUGGCCGGUACAAUGGGUCGCGAAACCGCGAGGUGAAGCUAAUCCCAUCAAACCCGGUCUCAGUUCGGAUUGCAGGCUGCAACUCGCCUGCAUGAAGUUGGAUUCGCUAGUAACCGUGGGUCAGCACACCACGGUGAAUACGUUCCCGGAGCUUGUACACACCGCCCGU
rnacentral:rRNA from 1 species